GCACUGUGCUCCUUUGCAACCCAGGCCAUUCUGUGAUUCUACCUAAAGAACUUCUUUUCCCCAAGGUUUCUAUAGAUAUUUCAAAACCAAACUGUGUUGCACAGAAGGUUCUCCUGCGAGGUGUCCCGCCUGUCUUUGGGAGGAAUUGAGCCUUGCAGGAGCUGAGCUGCUGUCCUUUGCAGCUGGAGGGGGUGGGUGAUGGUAGGGCUGUGUUAUGCUCAGUACUGGGUUGGGCUGUUCCCUGUGAGCUGUCAGAACUUAACAUCCUGAUGACGCUUUCUGAGCUGCUAGUUGGAAUAUUUCAGUGCACCUUUAGAUCCCUAAGGUGCUGUAUUACACUGAGUGCAGACGCUGUACAUCAGGAACUGCUGCUCACUAUUUUCUGUGACCCCAUCGUAAUGCACAGGUGGCAUUAGGCAGUGCUCCUGUCUCUGUGUGUCUUUGCUACGUAGCUUUAAUUGCUGGUUUGGAGUUAACAUGUUUGGGAGUCCUGCAGCUCCACGUGUGUUUUCUCCCCCAGCUCUGCCAACACGAGGAUGGCAUUUUGGUCAUAUGGAAGAAAUCCUGAAUGCAGGACAGUGGUAACAGGCCGCUCGUGUCAGACAGCCAUAGGAACGAGUUGAUGUUUUUGGUGGGAAGCAAAACAUGGGAAUUCAAGGCAGUUUCUACAGACGUUUGCCUAACGUAAAGUCCUCAUCUUACGAGUCGGGGAGGUGCAGGGGCAGUCUGGGCUCUUCAACAGGGCUUCAUCCCCUUUCGCUUUGGCUGGGAAAAGAAGCACGUGCCUAUGUACUUCUAUCGGCUCUUUCAGGUCCCUUCGGAGGGGUUCCCUUCUUAUCCACCCGUGUGCCGGGAGGUGGCGGUGCGGCUCCGGCGCAGCCCCGCGGUGCUGCCGUGGGCGGCCGUCGGUGCGUCCCGGCGCCGGUGCUGCGUCGGCGCUGUGUGUGAAAGGCUUCAGCCCAAGCUGCGAAUCGCUUCUUUAAGAGUGCUGCUUCUACAGCAAGUAUCUGCGGGGAAGCAAGUGGUACAGAUGGGUGCUAAAAUCUGAGGCUGCUGCCGUUGUCUGAACAGAAUUGAUAGCCGUGUAGAAAGUAAACUUAACUCGGGUGUCCUUCGUGGCACUGCUGCCACAGUUGCGGCUGCAGUUGUGAUCUCAGGGUGGCUGAUGUGGAAGGCACAAAUUGGUUCUUGGCCAAGAGGCAGUGGGACCAAAGUCCAGAGAGGGCUGGGGCUGAGCCUUCAGCUGUGUGUGUCAGCUCAGUGGAGCUUCCAAGUGAUGUCAUUUCAGUUUUGGAAACCACACAUCAGGACGUCUUGAAGCACGUCACAAAAGCAGCAAAGCACUGCAGAAGAGGCACGGGACACAGGUGACUCUGCAGGGCUGGCCCAGCAGGGCACGGCCAGGUGCCUCUGCCAGGUCCUUCCCAUGGUUCUGAGCACACUGAAGCCUGCUGCCGGGCUUCUCCCCUCCCCAGGGCUCUGAAGCAAUCCUGUUUUUCCCCUCUGUGUUCAAGCCAAAGGCAGGAGAAAGCGGUGGGAACCCUUCCAUUGACACCGACAGGCUUUUGGUUCAGCCUGUUGUUGCAGAGGAGGGAACAUAAUCUUCAGUAUUAAGCAUCUUUGUAAUUCACGUUGUGUUCCGGGGCUUUUAGAUCAAAUAUUGACUAAAUUCUUCUUUCUUCUUAGAACUGUGCCUUGUGCCAAGGAGCAUGCUGGAGCUGCUGUGCAUUGUCACGUGGAAACUCAUGUACAAUGGCCAAUCUGUGUUCCCACUUCGUCUAAAUAAAUGGUUGCUUAGCAUCCAGAAUCAUCCUGCUUGGGAUUAUCUCCCCAUAUGCCAGUGUUGCAGCACUGAAUGAUGUGGAUGUGCAGGGAGAGCAGAGCCUUUUGUUGUUAAUGGCUGUACGGGGGUAGCUGCGAUGAUUUUGUUUUUGUAAUAGUUGGCCAAUUUCUGGAGACUUGCCCAAAAAACUCUCGGUUUGCUCCAGAGAUUUUUAGCUCGUGUGUUCACAGACCUGUGGUCACAGGGUGCCAACAAAUAAAGUGGAUUUUUAUCAGCAUCACAAAACUGCUUCGAUAGCAGAGUGUUGGGAAACUUUUAAGAUGAAGGAAAAAUCUUUCUUAUUGAUAAGAGGACUGAAUGCAAUUACCAAGGCUCUGUUUGUUCUGUCAGCAUGCUGUGAAAGUUCUUAUUUUUUUGGACCUCGCUGGUUAGUCAGAAAAGUACUUUGCAUGUUCUGUACAUCCACGUGUCGUCUUGUGGUGCAUCUCACUGUGCCAAACUCUGUUCUGCAAAGCGUGAUUUGCUCACAGCAGUGAAAUGAGCUUUGUGUCUUUGCCACAUCUCCUUGUUCAGAGGGCUUGCAGCAUAUCCUUCUUUUCCAUGCACACUCACAACGUUCUCUAUGCCCCAUAGGGUUUUGCCUGUCUCAUUUCAGAACUUGUUGCUGCUGGCAGCAGUAAGGGACAAAACUCACUUGACCCACUUAGGGCACAAAACCUGCAGAGCGUGCGCUGGCUGAGGCCCUCCUUGCUGCGUUCUGUGCUUUGAUUCCUGCCUUUGUCCUCCCAUCUGUUCAUCUCUCCUGCAGCUCUCUGCACCAAGGCCUGCUUGCAGGCUGCUGACGGCUGCUCCUGCUGUGCACGCUGCUUUAGGGUCCCCAGUCCUUUGGGGGCACUGUGGGCCUCCAUGCCAGUGUCAGUGCUCAGUAAUGCUGGUUUCUGUAGGGUGACAGGAUUACCUGCUGUAACAGAUCAGAAUCGGAGUGCCAGUUUCCUCUAGGUAAGUUCAUUCCAAGCUGUAAAAGCAGAGUACUGCUUGUGUUGCUCAGAGGCAGCCCGUUCUGCACUCACGGUGUUUGCAGUUGCUGAAAUGAUUGAUAAGAAAACUCUUCAAAGAAACCGUUAAGGUUUGGUGCUUUAAAAACGAACCCAGACUUGAGGGGGAAAAGCACAACCAUAGCAUCGAGUUCCUUUGUGAUAAGGUCUGUGAGAUUUUGUCUCAAAUAACGAGUGGGAUGUGAAUACAUCAGUUCAAAGAAACGUGCAAAUCUCUUCUGACAAACGUUGCUGUCAGGAGGCACUCGCUGCGUCUGCAGGCAUUGCUCUGCCAGAGGUGACCCCAACUCUGCUUCCAGGUAUCAUGUUUUACCUCCGGCUGAAACCGUGAUGGGGGAAAUAGGUUUUCUGCAUGGUCUGUCCUGGGAAAUUGUCACUAACCAAUCUGGAGUAACAGUGGGUUGUCAGCAGUUGGAGUGCCCUCAGGAGCAUGCCUGGAGGUAAGGAGGGCACUUCUCAGUAGGAUUCUGUGUGAAAGGGAAAUAAUUUCUCUACAUAAAAUAAAGGAAGAUAAAAGAUUUUAACUCUGGGAUUAAAUCUGGUGCGCGUCGGUUUGGGUUAGUGAAAAUAAAUGAAGUUUUUAAUGAUUUCAUUUCAGAUAAGCUGUUGUUUAUGGAAGCGGAGGGGCGAGGAUCCCCUGCAUGGCUCUGCUCUGUGUGUGUGCUGCUGGGAUUUCCUGCGUACUGCCUCGGCUGCAAGAAAUGUGUGACACCAGGCACUGGGGCUGAGGCAGAAAUCCAGCAUGGAUAGUGGGGAAUUGAUGAUGUGACCCAAGGGUGAAGCUCUGGCCCAUUGAGAAUUCACAGUGUUUGUGUUCUGCGUGGCGUGUAGAGAUUCCUCAAAGGCAUCUUGAGCAGAAUGCUAUCAACACGGGCUGCGGAUACGUUCCUGUUCUAAGGAAUACUGUACCAGCCAGAUAAGUUGUCAAUACAAUUUUAUCUCUGCAUUUCUGUGUGCAGUUCCUAUCACCCUGCUGCUAUCUGAUGGCGAGCUCUCGCUGUUUGCAUUCAUACCCAGUUUGCUGUGGAAGGCAAAUGUGGUGGGAUCCUGGCUGCUACAUAACCUGGGCAGUGUCUUUUCUGAGAGCAGUGGGUUUGCCUGGGGUAUCCAUGUUCACUUCCUGUGUCUCCAGUUACCCUGUUGACAGAAGGCAGAACUGGUCUGCUUCACCACGAAUAGCAGCAGAAAGCUGGGAAUAAGGGCAAAACCUGGGCUCAGAGGUGUCCUCUUGGAAUAAAUUCCUUCCUAUUGUCCUUCUUGGUACGAGUUUCAUUUAACUGCUUGAAAAGGAGCUUGGAUAUUGCUCAGCCCAGGUAAAAAUAGCCCCAUUCUGUCAUACUCCCUAUUCUAAUAAACCUUGUGCUAAGCGUGUGUGUUUCGUGGCAUAGCAGAGGUGACCUAAGAGACUUGUGGGGAAUAAUUCAUCUUCCGCAAUAAUGAGUUUUCUCUUACCCUCUUUGCUGUGUUCCAUCUGCCUCAGGUUUUUGCUAAGUUAAAAAUGAAAGAUGUUACAGAUCAGGCUUGAAGUUCUGCUUGUUCUGAAGGAUGGCUGCCCGCUGCAUGGCCAGACAUGAGCGCUUUCCUUUCUCUCCAAGGAGAUCCAGGAACCCAUUGGCUGAUCUAAUUAGAGGUGUACAGAUGUAAACGUGGGCUUCUGCCUGUGAUCUGUGGUGUUGGAUGUGCUGAAGACCAAUACAGGACACAAACUUUGUAAUUCUUUGCAUUAGUGGAGAUAUUCCUCUUCCCAGCUUUGCUGUAGAGAAAUAAUGUGUUCUUUCUUACAAAAGAAACUAUGAAGGAAAAAUUUUGCUGAUCAAAUAUAAAGAUCAGUGCAAAUUUUAUUCCAAGUUGUCACCUAGUAGCUGCUUUCUGCAGUCUGCCAAGGAGCAAUGUGCUUUCCUUGUUAGAAGGGUGAUCUGCAGGAACUUCACCCCGCGUGUCCUUAGAGUCACAUACCUGAACUCCUCUGCAAGAAGAGGGAAAAAACCAUUUGCCUUCUCCUUCCUCCUCCUUUAGUAAUGUGUUGCUCGUACAGGGAGGCACGCAGGUGGCUGCGUGGUGUGUGCUUCCUUACUCUUAGCCACAAUGAUUUCCUACCAGAAAAAAAGAUUUUUUCAGUCUGUUUGUCAAAAUGAUCUCCAGAGCUCUCCUCCGUUUUGCUGAGGGUUCCUCCCAAGCCGCAGAGCAGGAUGCGGCCGUACUUUACACAGGAAUGGAAAGCUCAGCUCCAGGCUGGAUGUGGCUCUGGGCAGCCUGGGCUGCUGGUUGGCAACCUGCACACAGCAGGGCUUGGAACUGGCUGAGCACUGUGCUCCUUCUCAACCCAGGCCAUGCUGUGAUUCUGUGACUUUUAGAACAAGUUUGUCAUGGUACUCGGUGACAUGUUGUUUUCAGAGCAGCGUUACGUUGUGGUUUGGAGCCCUUCUGCUUCUUCCAGCAGUUUUGUCUGUGUUGCUGGACGGGUCGGUGUGGGCAGUUUUAACCUACAAAAAGAUGGCUCAGAUUUGCAUUUCUAGAGUGCCAUGCUUUCAGAACGCUGGGUGUGCUGCAAAGCGGUGCUAUUGAUGAUUAGAGAAGAGAGAUAAUAAUCUUGAAACAUCCAGCCAUAAAUAUAAUUGAAAAUAAAACCUCAGCGUGUGGAUUUAGCGGAGAGGAUUUUUGUUUAGUCUAGUGACUCCAUUAGUUUAAAGACCAUUUCCACGUAGCCAGCAAACAUUAUGCCCCCAGAGCAGAUGUAGAGUUUGGAGUCCUGCUGAGGUGAAUCGUCUCUUCAGAGCUUGAGUUUGAAGGCAACAUAAAGAAGGAAACAGCUGGAGAAAGCUGAGUGAGGCUUUUGGGGGUCAGCUUCCUACAGAUUAUUCUCCUAAUUGCUACAGCUGAGCUCACAAGAAGAAAGGCUGAGCCGGGGGAGGUGUAUGGCUGAAAAAUACGGCCUUUCUGCUGGCUGAUUGUCGGCGUUCUGCUUCUUGUGCUGUUAGGGCUGAGUCUUUGCUUCUGAAUUUUAGCAAGCUCAGAUGUUUAACAAAUAAAAACAUCCUUAAUCGCAGCCUCUCACAAUGUUUCAGUGUCUCAAGGUAUAUGCUGUUCUAACUGCUGCUGGCUAAGAGGAAAAUGUGAAAACCAAAACCCAGCCUACGUGAGAGCUGGUGAAGAUUUACCCACUUCCACCUCUUUCAGUGUGAUUGGGCAGCAGGUUGGGAUGUUUUUCUUGUGUCUUUUCCCCCCUCAAGUGGGCCAGUUUGAGUUUGUGUCAUUGGUGCUCUGUGCCCAUAACUCUGGGAGGGAAGGCAGAGCUAUCAGAUCUGGUUUGUGAUCCCUUUGCACUUAGUAAAGGCUGCAGACUGCCCAGCUGUUCUUGUUACAGGACUAAAAGCAGUGCAUAACGGCACAUAACAGCAGUUCUCCGGGCUGAAGCCAGCCUGAUUUGGUACUAUUGCUCUGGGUCCUGGUACAAACCUUCCUGCUCUAGGUUCAGCUCUCUUUUGUAGGUUAUUGCUUCCUUGGAUUCAAAGUCUUCCUCCAUGCUUUAAUUACAUUCCAGCCAGCUUUACUGUGGGAAAGUACACUCGUCCUAGGUACAGGUUCUGUGAGUUUAGACACCCCCCCUCACUAGAUUGAUGUAUGUGGUAGCAAAUACUGGGGGGCAAAAUGCAUGCAAGUGCUACCAGUGUUAUCAUGCUGCCUCAGCUGUGGCACAGCCCUUUGUAUGGGUGCAGAGUUGUCUCUGUCGAAGCAACUCAGUGAGUUUAGGACUGCAGGAUUCCCCAGCUGUGAUCCUGCCUGUGGGACGUGGAGCUGCCAGAGCUGUGUAUGUGCACAGGAAUGCUGCCAGGGGAGAGACGGCUGGGUGCUGGCCUCAUCUGUGGAGUUGGGGUUGAAAUCCUCUUCUCAUUGCUUGGAGGGGAGCUGAAGCCAUCUUGUGUGCCUCAUAGGAAGCCUGAGUCCUGGGCUGUAAGGAUUGUGGAAGUUGGGAUUCUUCAAUUGAUUCCAAACAAUCUGUUUUGCGCCUGCCUACUUGAGUCUGUCAUUGGAGGAAUGGUGAAGUUUCCCAUCAUCAUCCACCUCCUACUCAUCCAUAUUUGCAAGGCCUGGCCUGUCCCAAGCACAGCUCUCAAGGACGAUGUCGCUGUGGUGGGGCUGAGUGCAUCUCCUGGCUGCCCAACCCACUCCUGCACCGUGUGCUGAGCUGCUGCCAGCUGGGUUUGGGAAGGUACAGAGCACAGAAUGCUUGCACAGAGUGAUUGUUUUGGUGAUCGUACUUUCAUUGAACUCAAGAAAAUGGGUGUACAGUUGAAAUAAGCGCGAGUGAUGGUUGGCUUUGUUCUUUGAGAUGGAUGAGCUCAGCCCGUGUGCUCUCGGAGCGGUUUCAGCCAGCUGCCACCAAUAAAUCCUGCCUCCUGAAGAGGCACUUCAGUGAAGAUUUAAUACAGACUUCUGGAAAUGGUUAUUGCACUCAGAUGCAGAGAAAGCUGAGAGCUAUACGAAAAAAAAAAAAAAAGCCAAAAAACCCCACAGUUAUAAAUCUGAGCACGCUCCUUUUUAUUUUAUUUUUCCUGCUUGCUCUUAAAUCAUGAGAUGAUGUAGAUGACUUCAAGCUAUUGUAGGGUAAGACGCAACCUAAAGAAGGGGUAGCAUUUUGGGAAGCUUUGAGCAUCAGCUGCUCCUCUUCCUGUGGCUUACUAAAACCAUCAUGCUGGGGUGGCCUGAAGAGCAGGAUCCCUUUGUUCCCUUCCCACUGCAGCAGCUGUUGCAACACAAAGCCCUGCUAGAAGCAGAUCCCAGUGUGGCUGUUUGUUUGUUUGUUCCUAAUGGUUUUCUUUCCUGCUUGUUUUUAAAGGCUACUGUAGCUGUAGUCUCUUCCAGGGAUUAAGUCCUGUUGUAUACAUGAGGUUAGGAUUUGGGAGCAUAUGUGGAUCCACAGGGUGUGAGCUGUGAUGUGGAAAAGCUGUUACACUGGGGAUUGCUCCUGAGGAAGGGAGAGCUCCUGGCCCUCAUCCCACUAAAUCUGUGCCCGAGACUUGUUAGCACAGUUACGUACUCAUAAAAGCAAACUGAUGUAUUUUCAUGUUGAGAACAUUUAGCAUGCCUUCUGGCAUCGUACUUGUGGUGCUGCUCUCUGAUCAUUCAGCUGCUUUCACUCUGCCUGCCCGUCCCAGGUCAGACCAGAGGGAAACCCAGCUGCCUCCCUGCACAGUGCCCAUGUGGGGUUGGCUUUGCAGGGCUGAGAUCCUGCUGGUGGUAAAUGGUCAGGAGGUCUUGAAGGCCGCACGCAGCCUGAUUGCAUCGGUGCUGUUUUGUAGAUGUUGGAUCACUGGUGGCUUCAGUGUGCCCACAAAGAAUUGCUCUUGUAUCCCUGUCCUUCCCUGCUGCUUCCAUUGCAUUUGUAGUGUCGUAUUCUGCAGUUAGAUGAUGAGUGUCUAACUGUUUUGUGUUAAUGCUUGGGUUCAAUUCAUUUAAAAAACUGAUAAGAAACAGUAUUUCACGUCUCGAAAUAGUGGAGGUACUCAAAGAGCCUUUUGUGUUCAGAACAGACCUAACAGCCGUGUCUAGCUGGGAGAAUGCUUGAAUAACUACGACUUUUAAAAAUGUCUGUGCUGCAUGCACCAGUGUUCAGUGGUCACAGCGUUACACAUCAGGAUAGACCACGUGGAACAUGAACCAGGGGAGGAUGACAGAGGUUAUAUUUGCUGUUGCAGAGACUCAAAGCACUCUGUGCCAUUAGGCAAAGCUCCUGCAGCGUAUGCAGCCAUGGUGCUCUCUGCCAGGUUGGAAGGUGGGAGUUCAGCUUUGGAGCUGGGGCUGUGGCUCGAAAGAGGUGGGUGGCAGAAGGUGUCCGCAGUGGUGGUGGAUGCACUGUUUUGGGAAGUCCCUGACAUUCAGUCCUAUGGGUUGUUCAGCAGCAUGCUGUUCCUGGGAGUGCCUUUGGAUCUUAGCAGCUCUUCACCACUGGCUUUUAGAUAAUCAAACUAUGUUGGGUAGGUGGAGUCCUGAUAGCAGCUUUCGUUGCCUUCAGUGAACUGGAGAAGCACCCCAAGAAGUGGAGGUUGCAGAGGAAUGGUGGGUGCUGGCUCCCCAUGCUCAGCCUUGUGACCAGUUCUCCAGCAGACGUGUUGGUGGUCAGGCCCAGCCCAGCCCAUAUUGGGGCACUUUGGCUGUCGCUGCUCUGAGGAUGCUGUGAUGGAUCCAUGGCCCAUCAGCAGUGUCUCCCCGCCUGCGCCCGAUGUUGGGUGGGCUGUGGCCACAGGUGCAAAUCCUUGCCUCAAAAGAAUGGCCAGGUUUCUUGUAACGUUUGUCUGGGGAGCCUGAGGUGAUAGAUACCAUUUUCUCCCUCCUUUGGCCUUUUUUUGUAGCCAUGCUGGGUGCUGGUCCCUAUUCACCAGCCUUCAUGGUGCAUUUGCUUCAUAUCUUUGGGAUUGAAUUGUACAAAUAGUUUAGUCAGCACUGAGAGUCCUGAAUGCACGUCGUUAAUUUCUUCCAGUGUGGGAUUUGCGCUCAAUUCUUUAUUUUCCCAUAUAUCCAAUAAAUAUUCAAAGCACUGGGCUAAAGAGUAUUCUGCAGAACGAACCUCUCAAUCUUUUUCUACUGGAGUUGUUCUACUUAAUAGGAAAAACAUGCGCUUUAAGAGCAAAGUGAUAGGAAAAAAUAACUACAGUGGAUGGUGGGGAGGACUCCUGGGAUGGACAAAGUGAGACAAAGAUAUUCUGGAUUCUGUCUCUCCUGAAUAUUUAUUUAUGCAAAAAAAGGACAGGUUCAAUAGGAGAUGCAGCCCAAGGUCUUCCUCUGAAGUGCUCUGGAGAUGAUCUUGGAAGAAGUGUCAGCUUCCAAUGACAGCCAGCUGUGAUCUCGGCCAGCAGAAGCACCAGGUCCUGCAGUGGGCACCAUCCAUCCUCAUGCUGUAGGAAUGCAGGAGGGCCCACACGUUUUGGGAGGUGGCAGAGCUGCGUGCUGAGCUGGUGGGACGUUGCUGGUGGGGCUCCAUGUCCUGUGGGGCUGCGGAGCUGAGGCCUGGGUGCUCGGACCCCAGCGAGGUGAGGGCAGCAGCCAGGGCUCCUGAGGGGCUGCCACGAGCUCACUGAGGGUGACUGGUGCUGGGGUGGGUGAUCACAUCACAUGUGAGGAACGAGGUGCUCUGAUGCCAUGUUUUCCUGUUGCUUUAUCCCAGACUUCGCUCAGAUGAGCCUUUAACUAUUCCUGGUUCAUCUGAAUCCCUAAAUCUCCCGUUUAGCUCCAGCCUUUGGUGGGGGAAUUGAGAAGAGUUUUAUCACUCGUUUAUGUAAGCUUUUGUCACCGAAUAGUUAGAUUUAUGCAAUGUAGUUAAGCCAGAUGUAGGGGAUGCUGUUAACUCGGAGAGAAUGACCCAGGGGAUGGAAGGAAACUUCAGCUGAAGAAACAUUUUAUUUCAGGCUUGGAUGAGCGUUAUACCAAACAGAGUCAUGCACCCCUAAGAGGGUAAAGAAUUACAGCAGUGCCUUUCUGGCUGUAGCAUUAAUGAUGUUGCUCGAGUGUGUUUUAAAUUCUCUGUCUGUAAUUGGCCGGAAGUUGUCUGCAAACAUCAGGUUGCUGCCUUCUGACCCCUCAGGCUGUAUGGAGGAAGGUGUGAGGAGCUUGUGCCCUUCAGCAGGAGGUCCUGAUGUUGUUGUCUGGUUUAUCUGAGCUUCUCCUGUGCUCUUGCAGCCAACCCAAGGGGCUCACUCCUGCUUUGCAAGAGUGCAGCAGUGUCCAGGGGGAGCACAACCAGUGCCAUGGUCUUAGGGGAAGCUGGGAUGGAGCAGGGCAGUGUCCUCAGCUGGGUGAUGGUGGUGGUGGGAGCACCAGCAGUGAGGGGCAGAAGCUGGGAUUAUUUUAAAAAAUCUAUCCAGGAAGGAGCUUUCUUGGGGAGCAGGGAGACAAAUGUGCUCCUUUGUUACAGCCCACGUGGAAGCUCAGUAGGUAGAUGUGUGAGUGAAAUGCAAUGAAGGAUCACAGCAUAAGCAAGAAUGCUUUGGUGUAUGGCAUUGCUCCUGUUUGAGAAAAUACUGGGGAUGUUUGCAGAAAUCAGGUGUUCUGUGGCUUUCUGUUCUUCACCAGUAGUCGGCUUUGCAUCUCAGGCUGAAAGGGACACAGGCCUGAAUUCCCAAGCCUAGAGGAUGCUCUUACUUGGGAUAAAUCUCAGAAGUUUGUCUCUUUCUGGUAGGCAGCUCUGUGAGCGUCGAUGUUAAUCUUUUCUGCCUGGAUCCAGAUGGCAUUUCAUGUAGCUUUAUGUACCAGUGGGUGAGCAACCUCUGGUGCUACGUGGGCUGCUCACGUGGAUGCUGGUUCUUGGCAUGGUUUUUCCUCUCUGUUCACUAAAUCCUUUCAUUGAUUCUCCUUAAAUCCAGCCUUAGGUGCACAGGCAUUACUUUGAGUACAGUAAAAGAACCUAAGAGACAAAAACCUGUCUACCCUGAUCUCUGUGGCUUUGCAGGUUUCAAGUGUUACAAGCAUGCUAAGUCUGAAUUAAAUUAUUGCAUCUCAUGCAAUUGCCAGUUCAAGCAAGCAUUGUAUUUUACUUUUGCUCUGAAGAAAAGGGAAAGAUAAUUAGAGAGAGGAGUGUUUUUCUUUCUUUUUUCUCCUCAGGAUUGAAAUCAAACAGGAUCUGUAGUGCUGGACAUGCUAUGGAGGAACUCUGCUAUAUAUAUAUUCAAGACAGUUUAGAGUCAAAUAGGGUAAAUUAAUGAAUUGUAUCAGAAGGAGCUAUGGAAUUCAAAUCUGUGUGGAAAGAUUAUAAUCUCGUGGCUGUGACAGAAGCUGCCCUCACAACACGCUGAUAAUGCCCGUGAAAAGCUAAGUGAGAUUGAAAAGCUGCACAAGCAGAAAAUUGACAGCAGUUCUGUCUGCGUUGGCUGGAUGUGGGGCUGGCUGCAGGGAACUGGAGAUUUUCUGUCUUGCAGACCUCUGUUUUUUGGAGCAAAGUAAAUAACCUGAAAGGCUGGAGCAAGUCUGUGAAUCCUGCACAGAGGUCAGCAAUGCAGGUGGCUGCCGUGAGGAUGGGUUGUUCAGAUCAGCUGUCUGAUAGAAGCAAGCAGUCCAACACAGGAAAGCUUUUAACUUCCACAGCCAAGUCCCUUUAAAAGGAGUUUUAAAGGAGCAGCUGAGAGUGUGGUGCUUCCAGGCAAUGCAGCUUGGGAAGGACAAAAGCCAUCAGGAUUAACAGUGUGAGUGAGAGAGAACCAUCCAGGUUAUCUUCUGCACAAAAGAAGGAACCAGUCAGAAUGUGUUCUGAUUGAUUGUAGAACCACAAGAUAUGCUAAAAAGGUUCUGAUGAAUUGACAGCCAUAACAUAACGCACUCUGAAAGCUAAGGCUGGCACUUGUCCUGUUUUUGUAGUUAGUGGGUAAUCAGUAGUAGAGUAAUAGCGAUCCAAGUCAUGGUUGAGAAAGUGAUGUUGGAGAAGAGCUGGAUGCAGUGAGUGCCUCAGGCUCUGCUGGUGGGAAUCACCUGAGCUGCUGUCACAAAUGGGGGUCAGCAGAGGAUGGUUUGAAAAAUGGGUCAGGUAAGAACAUGGCAGGAGCAGAUGGUGGAAAGCAGAACUUUGGUGGAAAAGGAACUUAAAUGUGGACUGUUAACCACGACAACAAUGUCUUUGAAAUCAGUCUUGGUGUUUUGUUUGAGUUGAGGGAGGCUUCCAGUGGUCCAGCUGGUUAAGUUUUGGUCCCGUGUGGGUCAGUGCCUCUGAAUCAGGUCAGGAAAAGGACUGAAUAGUGCAGCAAUAGUGUGAUUGUGAGUGUGUUACUGCUCUACAGAACCUGCACAGAGAAGGUUCUCCAGGAACAACUGUGCAGCACUUCUUACAAGACUCACAGCUAUGGGAUUAAUGGGUUGUAGUGGGAUUAAUGGGUUGUAGAUUCCCCUUCUGUUCUCUGACCCGCUGUGCCACUUGUGUCUUCACAAGAAAAUUGUGUGCAGGCAAGGUAAUGUUAAUUUGGAAGCAUAUUUUCCAAAUUCAAAGGAAUUUAUAAAGUCUUUGUUCUCAUGCAUCUUCAUUCACUGGCACAGGCUGCCCAAGGAGGCUGUGGAUGCCCCAUCCCUGCAGGCGUUCAAGGCCAGGCUGGAUGUGGCUCUGGGCAGCCUGGGCUGCUGGUUGGUGACCUGCACACAGCAGGGGGUUGGGACUGGAUGAGCACUGUGCUCCCUUUCAACCCAGGCCAUUCUAUGAUUGUAUAAUCUUCUCUGGGAAGGAGGUGAAUGCCUCCCACCGUUUGGGAAAAUGAGCCCCUUCAAGUUUGCUUUGUGUGUACUCUUGUCCUGCUUUCAUCAAAUGUACUUGGUGCUGCAGGCAGCUGUGUGUGGUGUUCCCUACCUGCAGGGCUGUCUCCAGGAAGGUUUUCUUACACAAGCAGCAAGAGCAGCAGAAGCAGCCAGAGUACUGCAGGUACUUGCAUUUCUGUCAAAAGGACCACAAAAUUAGAGCCUUACUCCUGGGUAUGGUUGUGAUUUAAAUGCUCACCAAAAUGUUGUGCAGAUAUGGACAUUUUUAUUAAAUUGUUGCAGUACAACACUGACAGGAUGCAAGAGCAGCAGAGCCAGCAAAUGAAGUGUGCAAAGCAGUGCAAAGCAGCAGAGAAAGCCCAGUUGCAGCUCGUUACACUGCUGCUAAUGAUUGGGUAACCACUGCAAAAUCAAUGACGUUGCCACCUUCUGCAGCCUUCUGCUGCUGGAAAUGGGGCUGUUGGUGCUAACUGUAUUAAAGUGUGAAAAACAAUUAUGAAGUUUCUACUUGGAAUAAAAAACCUCAUUUGGCAUUGGAGGGUGAGCACCAUGUAAUGCAGCAAGCUGCAGCCUUGUUGGCAGCAGAACUGCAUUCCUGUGAAUAGGUGCACAUCUCUGAUUCAGGAGAGUGCUGUGGGAGGUGGGGAAAACAAACCAGGUGAGAGGCUUUCUCCUUCAGGGUGUGCUGGCACAGAUAUAAUUGACGUGCCCUCGGGUUUCUAAUAGCCUGAGCCUGCCAGUAAAUAGCUGCUGUGAGGAAUGGUUCAUAAUAAUGGGCCAGCUGAAAUAUUUCCCAGUGCUCAUACCCACUUUCUCAUCCAGGAGAACAAUCGGUAGCUAAUCCUGCAGUGUUUCCUGACUUAAUGGGCACCUGCCCUUAAGCAGCAUCCUGUGCUGAUAAUUAAAUCUGGAAGUAAGCAAACUUUAUGUCAAAUGAUGGAGACUUAAACAAUUGAAAAACAAAGGAAUGGCCCUGAGUGACGUAUGCUGUGUAUAAUCAGAAUAGAGAAAUCUAUCAUAUUUUGUAUUCUAGUUCCAUCUUAAAAUCAUCUCCCUUGCUUGCCUAAGGCUAAACUUGAAUAUUGCUACUUCAGGGUGACACACCGAUGAUUCGAUCUGAGCAGGAAAGAAAUAAAAAUGAGAGAAACUGGUGGUGCACGUUAGGAAGUUGACAUGAAACCAUAUGACUAAUUUCAGUUUUAAAAUAUUUAUUUUCCUUCUCUUUUAACCUGACUUGAGCCUUCCUACACAAAGCUAAGUGAGGUUGUGACCUAGCACAGCAUGGGUCCUAUUUUAAGGUGGAAAAAGUCGUUAGCUGUGUCCUGUGGAGACCUUGUGUUGAGGAAGGCAGAUGAGGAGCCUGCAGAUGGGUUUGGCUGUGUGCUGCUCCCAUCCUUGCUUCUUGGAGCACUGGGGCUGCUCAGUGGGGGCUCUGUGGGGCAGCCAUGGCUCUGUGGGGUGGCUGGGGAUGGGCUGGGAUGCAGCUGAAAGAAAGCAUUUGUUACAAAACUUGCAUGAAGGACAAGGUUCUCAUGGCGCAAGCUUGAAGAGAAAGCAGGUGCCCCAAUCUGUUGAAUCGUCUGGCUAUCGCUGCCUCCUGUUGUGUUGUGGAAGGAAUUGAGAGUAAAAUGCUGGCUUUGCUGACUCAUCUUGGGAAGCCUUUCAGCUAUUUUGAUUUCCUUGCAGCAGUUGAGCAUCCUGUGUUGAAAUAUCAUAAGGUGAGUUGAUGCAGAAUGCAGAGUGUCUGGGGAUCCCAGGGGGGUGGGGAGGAUGCUCACCUGCCUGGGGCCAGAGGAGCCCAGGGGGAGCAGAGCAGCAUUCUGUUUUGAGGAUGGUGUCCCAAUGCAAUGAAUGGUUCUGUGCUGUUUUGGCAAUCUUUGUCUGCUCAUAAGCGUUACGAAGCUUUUGAGAAUGUCUCAUAGGAGUCGUUUCUGCAGAUUUUUCUAGGUUAAGCUUUUAUGUACGAACCUUACAAUAGAAAAGUGUGCUUAAAGAAAACGUUCCAACGCUUUAAAGGUUUGCAUCAAAGUACUGUUAUUCACAAGCACAUGAGAUCGUGUUCGAUAGGCUGAGUAUUGCCAGCUUGAGAACAUCACGCUGCUUCUCUCGUCUCAAGGAAGGGCUGUAAGGACACGCAAGGACCUUCUGUGUGCUGCUGGGCUGCCCCUGCAGAAACAGACCUGCUGGGAAUGGAGAUGGGCCCGGCCACGUUCUGUCAGGUGCUGUGCGGUGCUCCGCCACUGCUGAGGUUGAGUGGAGGUGAGAAGAACCCUAAUGGAAUUUUCUUGUGGCUCUCAUGGCUUGCUCUCACAGCAGAGAUUUCAAAGUGAAUUUCAUUAAGUAUCUCUACUGGAUACGUAGCAGUAAACAUAUAAAGCAAUGCUGUUAUUCUGAGCUGGAACUUGUCUUACUCUGUAGCUCUGGUAAUGGCUCUGCUUCGUGCCAGACUUAAUUUCAAACAGCAGAAACUUUCAUUUCCAGAAUUAAAACCCCAGAAGACACAGAAGUGUGGUGUCUGUUGAUGUGCUGAUUAUUUCAAGGUCAGGCGAGCGAUCGCUAAUUGUGCCACUGUCACUGCGGUAAUAAUUCCAUCUUGAAGUGAGAUUUCUUCACAUACCUCUCAGAGCAGAAUCCAGAAUCCAGUUGCUGAUCCUCCAGAGCCCCUCAUUCACUCUGCAUGCAGGGCACUCAUGCCUGAGCCAUCCUGGUCCUGUAGGUCCAUGCGCACAGAACUGGGCUGGGGACCCUGCUUCUUGUUGGCAGCUGUUGGGAACCACCACAGGAGUUGAACCAUGGGAUUUCAAAUGAACCUGAAAUUGAAAACCAGUUUUUGAAAUAAUAUUGAGUUCAGCUCUUCGCACUUACUGCUAAGGAGAAAGUGCUCUUGGCGUGGUGUUGUUGAAUUGUGACAAAAUGCAUGUUGAGGUGGGAAAACAACAAAAUAGGGCUGAAUUUAUGUUGAUUUGCUGCUUUUCACGUCAGUGGGAAACACUUCAAUGUUAGCAUUUAUUCAAAAGGUUUUUGCCAAGACUUUGAGCCUCAUACAUUAAUAAGAGGCUGUAACAAGGACAUCAAGUUACACGAUGUGUUUUUCAUAAAUGAAAUCAUUGGCUUCUUUAACUGAAACUUUAAUAUGUGCAAUGUAUAACUGCAGUGCCUUACAGGGAUUUCUUAACAAGAGCAUUUUGGAGCAGCCACUAAAAAGCAGCAAUCAGUAAUAACAAUGAGGGCAUUAGCACUCAGACCAGAGUAAAAGCAUCAUUAAAGUGUAAGUUCUAAGGUACCCUACUUAAAAUUUCCCUCAUUACAUGUGCAAUUAGGGAAUAAACAAUAAAGCAGUGAUUAUUUUCCUGUGAUUUCUUAUCCUGACUACCUUUUAAAAGUGUAAUUAAUGUGAAGUGGGAUGAGCUGAAGUGUGGUGAGCAGCUCUCCUGUAGAGCAAUGGAUGGAUGGAUCACUUCUUGCACCUACCUGGCAGGGUCCUCUGCUCCUGGUGGUGGCAGAGCAACCUUUGUGCCUUUUGUUGUACCAGAUAAGAUGUUAAUUAAGAUAGUGCUCACCCGAGGGCUGAUUUUAAUAUAUAUACACUGCUAUUGGCGUAUACAUUUUGUAAUCCAUCAUUCUGGCUCCAUCUGGUUUAUCUUAGGUAUUGAUUCGGCACAAACAGAAAUUGGGGAGAAAAUGCACUAUGGCACCAGAAUCGUUUCAGCAAGAAUAAGUGGUAUAAAUGAGUGAAACGUGGUUCCUCUGUGCAGUAGGGUGUUUUGUUUGCCUGGAAGGGAAUAAUUAAACUUCAAGAAGGAAAUACCUGGGUGGAUUAACUUUUUCCUGAAUGACAGUAUUUGUAGAGGGGCGUUCAGGAGAAACACAUCAGCAUAGCAGUGCUCCUAGCAGUGAGCUGCCAGCAGGUAUGGGAGAGAAAAGUCUUAUUCUUUUUGCCUGUAUUGUAUUGCUGGGAUUGACAUCAGCUGGAGAAGAUCUGGAAUAGAAGAGGACAGGGAUAACGGUAAUUGUGCUGCAUCUUGCAAGUGUUUUGGGAAGAAAUCCACUUUGGAAGUAGUGCUUUAAUGAAAAACUUUACCAUAAACCCUGCAAUAUGAAAAUUGAUGGAAGUGUGGCCUCAAAAAAAACAAUUUUUUUUUUUUUUUAAAGCAUUACACUUUUAGUUUGCCCUGAGUUAGUGUAAGAGAACUGUUCUGUCAUGGCCUGAGUUGAUUGAUCACCUGGUGCAGGGGGUGGCUGGCCCAGGAAGCACGGGGGCAUGCAAUUCACCUCUGCUUCCCACCUGACUGGGGGGGGGGCCCUUAAUGAGCUCCCUGGGCUCACAUAAAGGCUCACCCCUGGAAGGAGAAGGUCUGCUGGGUGAAGGCUGCUUCCUGAGAAGGAGCGUUCUGUUGCUAGAGGCCUGCUUGCCAGUCAGGAAAAGGAGGUUUCAGAGCAUUCAGCAUCUCCCCUGUGAGACACCUGUAUGUGGUACCCGAGCAGCAAGGUGCCCACGUCUGCCUGGAGCUGCCCUGUGCCUGCAGUGUGCUGCCUGCACUGCCAUCACUUGGGUGAGUUUAAAGAUUGUCACUGCGAUAUCAUCACGACAAAUACUUCUGAGGAGAAGUUCUUACUUCACCACUCAGUUCUUCUUGAAGAUGAACACUACAGUGCAGUUUUCAUGAGUAUGCAGGUGAUUACUAAGAUGCAUGGAUUGGUGGCAGCAGCUUUGGAAAGGUGGAUGCUACCAGUUCCCAGGCUUGUUUCAUUCUUCAUACUCCAAAGUCAUCAGAACCUGGCAGUCCUUAGCAGCAGUGGGGGAGCUGGCCACAAGAGGACCCUGAUGAGGAUGUCAUUGUGCUCUUCCCAUCGUGACCAUGAUGCAAAAAGUCCUUCCAGGGAUUGCCUGUUGGAUUUCAUUGGCAGCUUCAGAAGAUGAGCUGAGAGGAAGAGCUUCUGCAUGAGGCACGGCCCAGAGGGACGCUCAGUGCCUGCCUUGGCUGUGUGCUCGCUCACGUCUCCCUGCUGCCCUGCAGCUGGAGAAGGCUUGAAGGUUGAAAUUCAAGUCCAGACAAAUCCAUCAUUGGAGAGGUCUGGGCAUCCCUGCGAUGUCCCACUGGUGUCAGCGUUGGUGGAAGGAAGGAGACCCAGUCCCUGCUGUGAUGCUGGGGUGCCCUAUGCUGGAUUCCACAGGUGCCAAGAGAGGAGGAACUGCCACUUCCCAGGAGCAGUGGUAGAUGACUGGCUGCCAACAGCUCGGGAGGAAAAUGAGCUGCCUGAGCUGUGAGAACUAUUUCUGGAGGUGAAGCCUGACACUGAACUAGAUGCCAGUUCUGGUGAUGGAAUCAAAACAUUCCUGCUGCCCUCAGUGGGUUUAGCCAGGCUGUCACGUCUGCAGAUGUAACAGCAAGGCACAGCACCAGUGGACCGUUGGCUGGAGGGAAGAGAGAAGUUGGAAGCUGUCUGCAAUUUUGGGUGAGUGCUGAUUUUUUUUUUUCUCGCUUAGAUAAAUUAGUGAGUUAACAAAAACCAACCAAACAAAAACAAAACUUCAACCCCAAAAUCCAGGCACAUCCAUUGUUGUAACAAUUAACUUUUACUCACUAAGAACAUUUGGCAUGUAAAAACAUUUAAAAGGUUGCACAUCGACAAGUGGUCGGAACGCGUAGAAAACUCUGUGCUUGCUCGUUAGGGAUCCGGUGUAACUGCAACCACAGGCUCCACCAGAACCCCCCUGCUGUGCCUGUGUGCAGUCCUGCUGAGAACUCCAGUGGAUUCAGAAAAGACGACGUACAAAGCUUCUGUAGGUUCAACUGUCCCUUAUGUGUUGAUGUACCCAGUGCACACACACACACCAGUGCUUGCUGAGGCCUUCCACUUGAACAGACCAAUCCAGUGAAAUGCUCAGAGUCCUUGUUGACUUUAAGCCUGGUGAAACUACAGUUCCAUAUCGGACCCGAACUUGUUACUGUUAGGUUGGGUUUAGCUGUCUCACUUUCUGCUCUUGAGGGCACAUCAAUCCCAUGCACAUUUUUUUCAAACGUAAUGCCAGGAUUUGGUUGUUUUCUUUCAGUUUGGGAGCACUGAGUUGGUUUUUGUCCUAACUGAUCAUAAUGACAGCUAAAUGUCAGCUUCAUUUCUGUCUCAGCUCCGAACAUAAACAGAAAAGUAUACAAAAAGGAAAAGUUUUUAUACGCUGAAUUAUUUUUUUUGCUGUGUACCUUAUGCCAAACAGUUUUGAUUCUGCAUGUGACUUACAGUCUAAAUGCCAGACCUAGUUUUCCAAUUAUCUUCAGUAUUUUGCAUCCAGUGCAGAGAAAACACUAUUAAAAUAAAUGCAUUAAAAAAAAAACAACAACAAAAAAACAACCCUGUAACUUAGCUGAAAUGUAAUCCCAUGGAGAAAAAAACACAAUAUUUUUCUAUGACAGUUUGGGUAUAUUUCAUGUCAAAACAUGAUCACCAGUCAAACUAGUGACAUCUAAAACCAAUACAUUAUUGUGACUUCUAAAAUAAAAAAAAAUCAGAACAAAACUAAAGUUAUUAUAGCUCUGCCUUUGUUAAACACCAGGGGCGGUGGCUUAAGCACAACAAAACUCCAGUGUUUUUCAAAGGUGUCUACUGAAGAGAAUAAAAAGAAGAGAACAAUUAACAUUUAGUCUGUUACACUAAAAACCCAGGUGUACACAUUUCUAUUGCCUGUUAGCUUUACCUAAGCCUUUUCAACUACUACGAAAAGAAAAAAGAUAACUCAUUGUCCAAAGUCAAAAACAUUCAAAUCAGUUGAUACAACAUUACAGUACAGUCAACUAACAUCCUUCAGGGUCUCCUUUUCCUCAGUUUGAGUCCUCAGACCAGCAUUACAAAACUAGUUCAAUGCAGUUUCAAAACUGUAUGUUAGCUUUGCAAGAUACUGUACUCUACUGAUGGCUUCAGAAGAAUGGGGUUGUGCUACUUUUGAAUCACAGGUAACCCCAGCCUCUCAUUAAUUUCAUUCAGCACUGCAGUUAGAACAGCAUUAAGUUUAGCACAAUAACUAAAAAAAGAAAAAAAAAGGAAAAAAAAAAAAAAAAAGAAA